AGCAGCCGCGGUAAUUCCAGCUCCAAUAGCGUAUAUUAAAGUUGUUGCAGUUAAAAAGCUCGUAGUUGAACUUCGAGAUCAAAUUGUUGGUCGUGCCUCGGUACGUACUGGCAUUAUUGAUUUCUCCUUUCUGAAGAACCUUGAUGUCAUUAAUUUGGUGUCUUGGGGAAUCAGGACCGUUACUUUGAAAAAUUAGAGUGUUUAAAGCAGGCUCACGCUUGAAUACAUUAGCAUGGAAUAAUGAAAUAGGACGUUUGAUUCUAUUUUGUUGGUUUCUAGGAUCGACGUAAUGAUUAAUAGGGAUAGUUGGGGGCAUUAGUAUUCAAUUGUCAGAGGUGAAAUUCUUGGAUUUAUUGAAGACUAACUACUGCGAAAGCAUUUGCCAAGGAUGUUUUCAUUAAUCAAGAACGAAAGUUAGGGGAUCGAAGACGAUCAGAUACCGUCGUAGUC
rnacentral:rRNA from 1 species